rnacentral:pre_miRNA from 1 species
GACAGCCUCCGGAUCACAUGGUUACUCAGCGUCUGCCAGCCUAAGUGACGGUGAGAUCCAGGCUGUC